AUUGAACGCUGGCGGCAUGCCUUACACAUGCAAGUCGAACGGUAACGGGCCUUCGGGUGCCGACGAGUGGCGAACGGGUGAGUAAUGUAUCGGAACGUACCUUUCAGUGGGGGAUAACUAUCCGAAAGGAUAGCUAAUACCGCAUAUUCUGUGAGCAGGAAAGCAGGGGAUCUUCGGACCUUGCGCUGAUUGAGCGGCCGAUAUCAGAUUAGCUAGUUGGUGAGGUAAAGGCUCACCAAGGCGACGAUCUGUAGCGGGUCUGAGAGGAUGAUCCGCCACACUGGAACUGAGACACGGUCCAGACUCCUACGGGAGGCAGCAGUGGGGAAUUUUGGACAAUGGGGGGCAACCCUGAUCCAGCCAUGCCGCGUGAGUGAAGAAGGCC
rnacentral:rRNA from 1 species